rnacentral:rRNA from 1 species
AGAGUUUGAUCCUGGCUCAGGACGAACGCUGGCGGCGUGCUUAACACAUGCAAGUGGAGCGACGAACCAGGGCUUGCCCUGGGGCAGAGCCGCGAACGGGUGAGUAACACGUGGGUAACCUACCCCGAUGACCGGGACAACCCGAGGAAACUCGGGCUAAUACCGGAUGUUCUCGCUUCUCGUAAGGGAAGCGAGCAAAGAUAGCUUUUAGCCUUCGCAUCGGGACGGGCCCGCGGCCCAUUAGCUUGUUGGUGGGGUAACGGCCUACCAAGGCUGCGAUGGGUAGCUGGUCUGAGAGGACGAUCAGCCACACUGGGACUGAGACACGGCCCAGACUCCUACGGGAGGCAGCAGUGGGGAAUCUUGCGCAAUGCGCGAAAGCGUGACGCAGCAACGCCGCGUGGGGGGAAGAAGGCCUUCGGGUUGUAAACCCCUUUCAGUUGGGACGAAGCUUCGCGGGUUAAUAGCCUGCUGGAGUGACGGUACCUUCAGAAGAAGCCCCGGCUAACUACGUGCCAGCAGCCGCGGUAAUACGUAGGGGGCUAGCGUUGUCCGGAAUCAUUGGGCGUAAAGCGCGUGUAGGCGGUCCGGUAAGUCCGCUGUGAAAGUCGGGGGCUCAACCCUCGGAUGCCGGUGGAUACUGUCGGGCUUGAGUACGGAAGAGGCGAGUGGAAUUCCUGGUGUAGCGGUGAAAUGCGCAGAUAUCAGGAGGAACACCAAUUGCGAAGGCAGCUCGCUGGGACGUUACUGACGCUGAGACGCGAAAGCGUGGGGAGCAAACAGGAUUAGAUACCCUAGUAGUCC